GUGAGGAAUAUUGGUCAAUGGGCGAGAGCCUGAACCAGCCAAGAAGCGUGCAGGAUGACGGCCCUAUGGGUUGUAAACUGCUUUUACACGGGGAUAAAGUGUGCGACGUGUCGUUCAUUGCAGGUACCGUGCGAAUAAGGACCGGCUAAUUCCGUGCCAGCAGCCGCGGUAAUACGGAAGGUCCGGGCGUUAUCCGGAUUUAUUGGGUUUAAAGGGAGGGUAGGCCGUCUGUUAAGCGUGUUGUGAAAUGUAGAUGCUCAACAUCUGAAUUGCAGCGCGAACUGACCGUCUUGAGUGCGCAGGAAGUAAGCGGAAUUCGUGGUGUAGCGGUGAAAUGCUUAGAUAUCACGAAGAACUCCGAUUGCGAAGGCAGCUUACUGUAGUGCCACUGACGCUGAAGCUCUAAAGUGCGGGUAUCGAACAGGAUUAGAAACCCUAGUAGUCC
rnacentral:rRNA from 1 species